rnacentral:sRNA from 1 species
UCCGUGGUGUUCGUGCUGACCUGACGAU